rnacentral:rRNA from 1 species
UGGAGAGUUUGAUCCUGGCUCAGGACGAACGCUGGCGGCGUGCUUAACACAUGCAAGUCGAACGAAGAGCGAUGGAAGCUUGCUUCUAUCAAUCUUAGUGGCGAACGGGUGAGUAACGCGUAAUCAACCUGCCCUUCAGAGGGGGACAACAGUUGGAAACGACUGCUAAUACCGCAUACGAUCUAAUCUCGGCAUCGAGGAUGGAUGAAAGGUGGCCUCUAUUUAUAAGCUAUCACUGAAGGAGGGGAUUGCGUCUGAUUAGCUAGUUGGAGGGGUAACGGCCCACC